rnacentral:rRNA from 1 species
AUUGAACGCUGGCGGAAUGCUCUACACACGCAAGUCGAACGGCAGCACGGACUUCGGUCUGGUGGCGAGUGGCGAACGGGUGAGUAAUGUAUCGGAACGUGCCCAGUCGUGGGGGAUAACGUAGUGAAAAUUACGCUAAUACCGCAUACGAUCUAUGGAUGAAAGCGGGGGAUCGCAAGACCUCGCGCGAUUGGAGCGGCCGAUAUCAGAUUAGGUAGUUGGUGGGGUAAAGGCCCACCAAGCCAACGAUCUGUAGCUGGUCUGAGAGGACGACCAGCCACACUGGAACUGAGACACGGUCCAGACUCCUACGGGAGGCAGCAGUGGGGAAUUUUGGACAAUGGGCGAAAGCCUGAUCCAGCCAUUCCGCGUGCAGGAUGAAGGCCCUCGGGUUGUAAACUGCUUUUGUACAGAACGAAAAGGUCUCUACUAAUACUAGGAGCUCAUGACGGUACUGUAAGAAUAAGCACCGGCUAACUACGUGCCAGCAGCCGCCGUAA